UACGUAGGGGGCAAGCGUUGUCCGGAAUCAUUGGGCGUAAAGCGCGCGUAGGCGGCCCGGUAAGUCCGCUCUGAAAGUCCAGGGCUCAACCCUGGAAAGCGGGUGGAUACUGCCGGGCUAGAAUCCGGAAGAGGCGAGUGGAAUUCCUGGUGUAGCGGUGGAAUGCGCAGAUAUUCGGCGGAACACCAGUGGCGAAGGCGACUCACUGGCCCGAUACUGACGCUGAGGCGCGAAAGCGUGGGGAGCAAACAGG
rnacentral:rRNA from 1 species